GACGUAGGGCGCGAGCGUUGUCCGGAUUUAUUGGGCGUAAAGAGCUCGUAGGCGGCUCGUUGCGUCAACCGUGAAAACCCGGGGCUUAACUUCGGGCUUGCGGUUGAUACGGGCGGGCUGGAGUUCGGUAGGGGAGACUGGAAUUCCUGGUGUAGCGGUGAAAUGCGCAGAUAUCAGGAGGAACACCGGUGGCGAAGGGGGUCUCUGGGCCGAUACUGACGCUGAGGAGCGAAAGCCAGGGGAGCAAACGGG
rnacentral:rRNA from 1 species